rnacentral:lncRNA from 1 species
CUGCAUUUUUUCCCUUCGGAUUGGGACCUCGAUCUUGUGUUGGUAUGUCCUUUGCAAUCACGGAAACUAAGGUUGCACUCUCCAUGAUUCUACAACGCUACACCAUUACCCUCUCCCCUGCCUAUGUCCACUCACCAAUGACUAUUCUCGCCAUUCGACCACAGCAUGGAAUUCAAGUAAUACUUGAGUCACUGCAUAACAAUGCUUAAAGUACACAAUAGCUAAGGGACUUGAGGUUUAACUCAAUUUGUUUAUGUAUUCACCUUUAGGUGUUAAAGCACUUUUAACAUUAGUAACCCCUUCCUAUUCCUAUGCUAUACCCUACUCAACGCAAAAACAUGGUAAAACAUGCAAUCCAUAAAUAUAUAUAUGUGUAUGUUUCAGUAUUGUUGAUCAAUAUAUAAUUUUUACUAGUUAUGCCUUAUUUCAUUUGAAUUGCAGUAUUAGCAUCCUAAAGCCUUUCCAGCAAGCAAUAGCAGCAAGAAUUAAACUAAGUUGUGAACAUCGAUACAUUGUAGGAUAGGCUUGAUCAAGAGCAUUAGUCAAACAACAGCAGCAAACAUAUCCCAUAGAUACCACUUGAUAUCAAGCACCAUAGAUACCACUCGAUAUCAAGCACCACCAUGAAUUAAACAUGGGUCUCCUCUUGAUUCUAGGUUUAACGAACGACUCUGCCAUGCCAUUCCUCUCACAAUUUACAUGAUGAAAAAAAACCGAACCAAUCUCAAUCACAAUUCAAUGAAUGUCAGAAAAAUACCCCGAAGCUUCCUGUUGGGGUUAUCAGGACAUAGAACAAGGAAGCAAGAUGUAUGAAAUAUUUUUACUUGCUCACAAUCUUGCAGCAAGGGAGAUUAUGGCUGAUAGCUCAUUUUGCUCAUUCAUUCAACUAGAAAAAACAAUACAUUUAUAACCAAAUACAUCAGUAAAUACUGCCUACUACCACUUAAAUAGCCUAGGAACUUGUAAAACAUUGCUUGUGCACAUAAACAAGCCACCUAAACUAGUCAUCCAACUACCUAAACACUUCAAGCUUUUAUCAGCUUGUUCAUUUUCAACUAAUUUAAUUACAAUGUAACUAAACAAAAAACUUGUUAAUGCAGCAUGCACAAGGGCUGCAACAUGCAAAUAACCUGCAUGCACUUUAACAUAACAACAGCAUGGUUGGCCACUUUUCAACACUUCCAUGGUCUUUCAGAUUUGUUUUUUAUACCAACAAUCAGACCAUUAGCGUAACAUCUUGUCGAUUGGAUAAAAAGAGCAAGAGUAUGCUUAAUUGCUGCAAUUUCCGCAAGUCCAUUAUCUUACCUAAAUUCUCCACGAUCAAUUAUCUCGUUAAAUUCUUUACUGCCUUCAAUAUUACCACUACAGUCUAUUCUUUCGCUUCUAUCUUGAACUACGUUAAAAUCGCCCAGCACACCCAAUUACCAUUGUGAGAGCUUCUCAGGUCCAAGACCUUCUACCAUAGCACUUUUUGAUCAAUUACAGAACACGAAGCAUAUAAAUUUUGGAUCCAACACUCAAAGAAUCAAUAUCCCAGACGACCAAGAGACCUCUUGAGCGUCCAAUUGAAGGGGAGAAAGAGAAUCCAAAAACAUCAUAAGGCCACAAAGAUCUAAUCUUCUGAUCCUUCACACUCACCAUUUUACUUCCAUGAAGACAGUUCGUGUCCAAUUUAUUAAGAACUACUGCUAGUCUCACCACUUUGUACUUAAUUUUAGCACCAAUACCCCUGAUAUUCCAAGAUAGGAUCGACAUUUGGAUCAAAGGCAAUAAAGCCACAAAAAACACUAGCAAGCAUAAACACAACCAAAAUUUAAAGAAAACAGAAACCGAUGAAAAUACCAACCAAAAACCUGCAACACACCAGACCUGCAGCAUAUUGAAUCGACAUUCUUAACCAAGUUUCUAUCGUUGCAUUCUAAAGUAAUCAACUUUACCUAGUCUUCACAAUUCGCAGACAACCCCAAAAGCUUUCCCACAUUCCAAGUUCCUUCGCCACUUGACUCAAGGUUCUUCGCCUAUUCUGCAGAUCUGAGUCAGUGAGAAUCUGACUAGCAAAUCUAUCACUCUAGUUUGAGUUUUCCAACCCCUUCUUUUACUAGUUCUUAUCCGCUCUUUCCCAAAAGAUAUCUUCAAUGUCGUCGGUGGAUUUCAACCUUCUCUCCUUCUUAGUAGCAACAACGACAAUUUCCCAAUCUAAAAGUUACCACAUAUGUCUUCACCUGGACUAGAAGAAGAGAACACCUUCUCCAUAGCCCUCCUUGCAUUAUAGUCCACCAGGCAAGAUUGGCCCACAUCAGUAUUCACCUCAUUUUUGAUCCAUUCAACUUUGGGUCAGAAGGGAACCCAUCUUGAAUGUUCUCCCCAUUUAAGUCAAAACGUUGUGUAUCUUAAAUAGUAAUUGACUAAGAUAAAUCUUCAUUUCUAGAAAUUUUUUACCCAGCUGUACUAAAGCACCUCUGAGCAUCCUCGUACAAAGAUCUUUCUUUGGUUUCUAUGCCGCCCGCAUUUGACAUCUCUAAGAACUGCUCAUCGAGUGCAUAUCCUCUCUCUCUCCCCCCCUGUGCUCUCGUCAUUUAGAAUCUAAAUCGCUAUUCUCAUUGUCAUAGUAACGACUAGCUAACUCAUCGGAACCGAUAUCGGUGAAGAAAGAAAAGGGGUCGAAGCUAUAACACAACCGACAACUCAAGGACAUCACUAAAUUCCAUUACUAUGAUGUCGAGAAAAUUCAGCAUAUUUAAUAAUACAAUGAGAUUUAUAUUAUAUAUUUUCAAUUUUUUUAAUACUCAUUUUGUACAUUGUGAUUGAAUUGUUUAAAUAUAUACGUACAUUCAAAAUUUUUAAAAUUAACUGUAUCGAGGAGUGUUUAUCACAAUUUAUUAAUGUGAUACAGUACAAAUUUUAAAUAUGUAAAAUAUCGUAGUUAUACAUAUAUGCAACAAAUUUUAUUCGAAGAAAAAAUUUAACUACUAAUUAGAUUCAUUUAAUUAUUAAUUAUGCUGUCUAUGAGACAUGUUUCCUUUCCCUUAAGAAAUAUUAAUUAAAUAAUAAAUUUAUCAAGUGUACGAUAGGUAAAUAACUAACUACUUUUCAUAAAUUCUCUUUUCUUUCAAGGGUGGUAUUGAGAACUCUAAUUGUUCUCUUAUUUGUCUAUUUCUUUCCACUUCUAGUGGCCAAAAGUAAUUAUUACUAAUAAGAUAUCCAAGAAUCAAGUAAUAAGUGUCACAAUUCACAAUGCCUAGAACUAUCUAUAGUGAUCUCUUAUCAAUCCAUAAUUAGGAGGAUAAUGCACUUCAGCACACUUAAACCAACAUACUCCUGCAUUGACAAUAAUACCUAUACUAAUCGAGUUAAGACUUAAUCGGUAAAACUUAAGUAUAAUUGAGUGACUGACGAUGUUGCUUGUUCUUCCAUAACACAAUAAUGAUUCUUUUAUUAUUUAUGCUCAAUUGAUUUUUUUUCCCUGUCAAUGCUAAUAAUUUUAUUUUGUAAUAAUAUAUUUCUAACAACCUAGGUCAUUCAUCCUAAUACUAUUCUCGCUCAAGCACAAGAGAAUUCUGAUAUAAUUUGGUGCAUUAAUAUUAGUAUCAUCUCACCCUCAAAAACGUAUAAAUAAUGACUAAAUUAUUUCAAGCCUCCUCAUUAAUGGUAAGACAUUACAGCACAGAUAUGAUAUUUUACCUUAUCUACGAAGGAACAAAAGGAAAGAUGACAACCAUAUCCCACUCAAUUACCAUUUAAAUGCUUUGUUAAAUAUGGAAAUCACAAUAGAAUAACUAAAGGAGCAACUGGAUUCAGUGUUGAGAGAAGGAAAAAUGAGUGGCUUGAUGGAGCUUGUGAUUCUUGUCGCGUGUUGUUUCUUCCUCGUAACUUUAAUCAAGUUCCUUUACGAUUAUCUGUGGAUACCUCUGCGUAUACAGCAUAUACUGAAUUCACAGGGAAUCAAAGGACCUCCUAUCAGAUUCAUCCAUGGCAACAACAAGGAAAUUGCCAAAAUGAAACAAGAAGCAUUAGGCAAACCUGUGGCCUGGACAGAUGAUUUAUUUCCCAGACUACAGCCACAUAUUUACAGCUGGAUCAACAGAUAUGGUAAGAUCCAUGCUGUUUUUUUUCACUAAGAUUUAUAACUCGUAGUUCUAUGAAAGAUUGAUCCUUUUUCUUUUUAUGUGAUUAGGGAAGAAUUUUGUUUAUUGGGACGGUGCUCGAGCUGAAUUGGUGAUUUCUGAGCCUGAACUAGUUAAAGAGGUUUUGAAAAAUAGUGAAAAUAUUUUUCAAAAAGUGAAGCUUCCAGAAAUUAGUAGGAAGCUCAUGGGGAAUGGGCUUGCGUUCACUGAGGGGGAAAAAUGGGCAAAGUAUCGAAAGCUAGCCAAUCACACUUUCCAUGGGGAAAGCCUAAAGGUAAAUCCUCCAAAUAUAUAAACUUGGUGUAAUUAAUUUACGAGAAUUAUACAUACACUACAAUAUUUUAGUAAAAUUUUGUAUUGUUUGCUAGGGAUGAGUUUCUCAUCGAAGUUGAGAAGUAUCGUGAAAAAAUAUUUUUCAAAAGUUUGAUUAUGUUUACCACAUAAAAUGUUAGAUAUAAAUUAAAAAAAGUAAUUUCAUUGAAAGCAUUAUUCCAAAAAAAAAAAAAACAAAAUAAUUAUUUUUUGGCUUUCUAGCUUAGAAUAAAAUCUAAUUUGAAUUCAUGCAUGGUUUUGUGUUGAAAAGUGUUUUCCAUCGCUACUACUUACAUAUUGGAGGAUUCUUUGGACAGAACAUGACUCCAGCAAUGAUUGCUAGUGUUGAAACAAUGCUAGAAAAGUGGAAUGGCCAAGAAGGCCAGGAGAUUGAAGUGUUUCAAGAAUUUAGAUUACUGACUUCAGAAGUGAUUUCCAAAACAGCAUUUGGUAGCAGUUACUUGGAGGGGGAGAAGAUUUUUGCCCUGCUGUACAAGUUGAAAAUACUUGUUAGUCGAAAUAUGUCCAAGACUACAAUUCCUUUCAUCAAGUAUGUUCCCUAUAACCUUAGUUAAUCCCAAGUUUUUCCUUUAUUUCAAUUAGCUUUUGAAUGCAAAUUUUGGACUUUUAUUCCCCAUAGCUUUGGUUUUCUCCUUAUAUAUAGCUUACCAUAGUUUGCUUUUCCAGCAAGCUAUGGAAAUCUGCUGAUUUGCUAGAGUCUGAAAAACUUGCAAAAGGAAUACAAGAUUGUGUAAUGAAGAUUGUUAAGAAAAGAGAAGACCAAGUUGUGAAUGGAGAAGCUGAUAGCUUCGGCAAUGAUUUUCUUGGAUUACUUGUAAAUGCCUAUCAUGAUUUGGAUCAGAAAAAUAGGCUUUCAUUGCAAGACCUGGUAGAUGAAUGCAAAACUUUCUACAUUUCCGGACAAGAAACUGUUAAUUCCCUACUGGGAUGGAUAGUCUUGCAUUUGGCAAUCUAUGGAGAUUGGCAAGAAAAAGCAAGAAGGGAGGUGAUUGACAUUUUUGGUAACCAAAAUCCUCAUCUCGAAGGCAUCACCAAACUUAAAACAGUAAGCAAACUAUCUAACCAAGAUAUUAAAUAGCCAUCACAACAUGAUGUAAUCUAACAUAUUUUCUAUUUUGCAAACUGAUGACCAUGAUCAUCAAUGAAACUCUAAGAUUGUAUGGUCCGUCAAAUGGCUUGGCAAGAACAGUUGCAAGAGAAGUACAGUUGGGAAAGUUAGUCUUGCCUGCUAAAUUAGAUAUUCUGCCUCUAAAUAUUGGACUUCACCGUGACCCUCACUUAUGGGGGGAUAAUGUGCAUCUUUUUAAACCAGAGAGAUUUGCCGACGGGAUUGCCAAAGCUACCAAUUACACCGCGGCUGCAUUUUUGCCCUUCGGAUUGGGUCCUCGAUCUUGUGUUGGUAUGACAUUUGCAACAAUAGAAACCAAGAUUGCUCUCUCCAUGAUUCUACAACGUUACACCAUUACUCUUUCCCCUGCCUAUGUCCACUCUCCAAUACUUAUUCUCACCGUUCGACCACAACAUGGAAUUCAAGUAAUAAUUGAACCGCUACAUAAUAAUUUUUGAAUUACAUAGCUAUUAAGAGAUGACAAUUAAUAUAUCUAAGGUUCUAGCUUUUACUACCCCUUCUCUAUUCCUAAGCUAUUCCCACCUUUAUAUAUAAUGAUAUGCAAGUAGCUACCGGUUUCCCAUAUGGUAAAACAUGCAAUCAAUAAAAAAGAAUGUGUUAAGGCAAGUUUUAGGAGUAGUGACUCAAGAUGUGACUGUUACACUUGGCACUACGCAAGCCACAAAAUUUUCCUUAUUGUUGGUAAUUUUGACCCAAAUAUUUUGAUUAUUUUGCUUGCAUCUUUUUUAGAAUUUGAUGCGGUCGUUGAAAGCACAAAAAUAUCUUAUCCCUAAUAAAUAAUGAAAAAGAAUAGUAAAAAGGAAGUUGGGUCAAAUCCUUAGGGACUGGACUUGCAAAAUAUCUUGCUCCGUAAAAUCCUAGGCAAAAUCUUGCCCAAGAAAACUUAGGUGCCUGAAAAAAAUAAAAUAAAAAAAUAACAUAAUAAAAUGUUUGGAUUUGAAAACGAAAAAUAAAAUAAAAACAAAUUUAAGAAUAUUGAAUCUAAAAUUAGAGAAAUUAAAAAUAGAAUUGAGAGAAAAGAAAUUCUUAUGGGAGAUUCCAGCCUCCAGUUGUCUCGUUCCGCCUUGGGUUCAAUCCUCGGCUUUUAGAUGAUCCUUCCCAAACCCAAUAAGCCAGUUAUAGUGGAAGAGGACGCCUACGACCACCAGCUCCAAGGAUUUAGACUUACGAUUUAGUGGAAUUUGACUCUAGCCAACAAUCACUUCUGUGGGAUCGUCUUAUGCUAGAUCAACGCUUCUCAAUGGCAAAUCCCACGCCAUUUUGUCUCUUGGGCUCGCCAACCUCUGACGCAGUAAGCUAACGAACCGACUGUGCAACCUUCCCAAAACAUACAAAGCGGUCAGUGAUUCAGGUGUAUUUUAGGGGGGGGGAGGAUGUGUAGCCUAUAAGCUUGGCACUCAGUGCCCAGGUGUGUUUCUGGAGGGAUGUAUAGCUACAGGCUUGGCACUUAGUGCCCAAGUGUGUUCAUGGAUGGUAUGGCUCGUUUGAGCAACCAUAUGUGUUUUAGGUGGUUACCCAUGUAUUCGUAUUUGUUCAUUAUAGUUCAUCAAGUUAAUGGUUUUUAUAAAUGGGACGUUGGUUGAAUAGUAAUAAAUAUAAUGUGAUAAAUGAUAGAUGAAUGAUGUAAAGUUUGCUUAUGUUCAAUGGUUAGUUGACAUGAUAUUGAUUUGGAUCAAUUUGUAUAAUAUGGAAUGAUAUGACUUAAAUGUGAUGAACUCACCGUUGAUAUGAAUUGUGGUAAAAGGAUAAAUCAUUUAGUUAAUUGUUUUGUCAUGUAAUUGUGGGAAUUAAGGUAAGUUACAUUGUUUUAAACCUAUGAACUUACUAAGCUUAUUUAAGGCUUACUCUAUUUCAUUUUCUAUUUCUUGUAGUUAACAUUUUGCAGAACUAGGUGAUAGGAUCAUCUCGAAGGUCAUACUAUCCAACCUCCACUUUGGUAGACUUUUAAACCAUUAAACUCAGUGAUGUGGCAUGUAAUAGGAGUUGAUUUGUAAAUAUAUGUUUUGUUGAAGUUGAGUGUUAAAUGGUGAUGUAUAAUUGUAUAUAUGUUUGUUAGCAAGUUGAUAUGCUAACUUAUGACUUGAAUGAUAACAUUUGAAUGUAAUGUUUUGGUGAUAGGGUCAUUUAUGCGUGAUGAUAAUUUGGUGUUUGGAUUUCAUAUAAGGCAUAUAUGUGAUCAUAAUCUAAUUGACAUGAGAUAGGAUUAAUUACUUGAAUUGAUGCAUGUUAUGUUAUGGUGCUAUUGAGGCAUAUUAAUUAGAUUCUAGGGAUCAUGGUUUGUGAUUUAUUUUAGCAUGAAAUUAUACAUUUUGGAUGAGUUAUCAAGUGGAUAGUUAUUAUGCAUAACUUAGGUGAUGAAUUGAUUUUGAUAGUUUGUUGAAAAAGGUACAUUUUUGGUAUAUACAGGCUAACACACGGCCAUAUGUUACACACGGGUAAGUGACAUGGUCGUAUGCUUUGUUUUUAAUUGGGAGGUUUUGGGUUACACAGUUCCAGUUUGUUACAUGGGGUGACCACAUGCCCAUGUGAUACUGUAGAUUUGGUCAUUAGAAUUUCCACACGGUUUUAGUCUCUCACACAGCCUAGCCAUGUUUGUAAGUUUUUGCAUUUAGGUCCACAAAGUUUCAUUGAGUUACACGAUCAGGUUACAUGACCAUGUGACUCCAAUUUCGCACGGUCACCUAUUGUAACACGGCCUAAGCACACAACCGUGUAACCCUGUAUUGCAAAUUUCUCCUUGAUGGUUAAAAGUUUGUAAUUAAGUCUUUAUUUGUUUCUGGGUUGGUUUAAGAGCUUUCGUAAGCUCGAUUGAGACUUGUAAUUGUUUGUAGGUCAUAUUAUAAAUGAACUAUAAAUUGUUUUGUUGUUUCAUUAAAUGUUAAAGUCAGAAAUGUAUGUGAUUUAUUCCGUUAACUAUUGUAGAUUCUAUAGCUCCGGCCCGACAGCCGGACCGGGUGAGGGGUGUUACUUACCAAUAAUGAUGAUCAAGAUGAAUGUUCCAAGAAGUAUGUUUUGAUCCUUGUUGAAAUCUCUAACCAUCAAGUUAUUUUUCAUUAUUGUGGAGCUCUUGGUCAUGUUGAAAGAUUAAUGGUGGAAGCAAGUAGUGGCAGAACCAACGCCCACUGCUCCUAUCACUGCUCGAGGUCAAGGGUAAAAAUCUAUAUGAGGGAGAAUGAGAUGUCAUCUCAUGGAUUUGAUGAACAUAAGAAGAGAAGCUAGGUUAUCUGUCAUUAUUGUAAUAUGGUUGGUCAUAUCAAAUCACAUUGUUAUAAGAUGUUGAAUGACCUGAUAUGAGAAUUGUUUGAAGACAAGUUACAACUCAAACAAGAUACAACUAGAAACAUGUAUGAGUGAGAAAAGAUUGACAAUUGAUUGAUGUAUGUUAGAAUCGUGAAGUAGAAACUGACGCAACAACUUUUGAAAAUCAAGAUGAAAAUAUUUAUGCUCUCUAGAGAUCUUGUGGUAAAAAUCCUUGUUGCUCCAUGAGUUAUAACUCUCACCUACAGAGCUAUUGAUAAGUUAGCAUCCAUUGCACCCUAUGUUGAAACACCUUAUUGAGGGGGAGUGUGUUAAUGCUACAACUAAGGGGGAGUUUCUUCUUUGCCAUGCUUUUUGUUAUUGAUUCUGUUUAUUCAUGAUGUUGCCUACAUGUUAUUACUUUAUGUAAUUGAUAAAACUUUAGCUUAUGUAGAUGUCGAGAAGAGCGGCAACCUUGGCCAAACUGCUAGGUAAUGCCAUAAUAUAACCCAUGGCCCAUCCAUUAGCACCUUUGAGUAAUCAUCGUCAUCCUGAAACUUGAUCAAGUAAAAAUCUUUCUUCAAACCCAUUAAUUGAAUGGAUUUAUUCAGCUUUCAGAGUACAUACACCUUGUUAGAGAAAGCAUUAAAAGUUAUGCGUCGGCCCAAAAGUUUGAUGUUGACAGUACCCACACAAUACGCUUCUCAAUAAAUUUGUGAACCUGAUUUGAAAAACUAAGAGAAGGUAUUCCAUCAACAUUAGUCGUUGUGAUAUCCCCCUCAUGGAACUCAAAAUCAUCAUCUUGUGAAACACUAGAAUGAUGUAAUGAAGAACCCAAAAAACGUGUUCUUAAAGGAUGUCCUAGGCAUCAUUGGUUCCUUCAUCUGCAAACCAUUCCCAUCAACCAUCGGAUCAUCAAUAUCCGGUGGCUCAUCCGGUCGCCUCCAUACCUUCUUGGUUGUCUGACCAAAGUUGACACUGGAAGUAGCGGAGUUGGAGCCAAUCACAAAAGCACCUAGAGAAAUUCUAUAACAUGUAAGUCAUUUAAUCAAUAAUCAAUAAUAAUAAUCAAUAAUCAAUAAUCAAUAAGAUAGUACCUGCUGUUCCAAAAUAAUAAUAAUUAAGCUUAGACCUGAAUUUGAUCUGCUCCAACAAUUUGUUUCAUUACUAAUCUAUUAAUAAAAUGUUGAAAAUUAUAUUUUUAUAUUAAUAUUAUCAUUAAAUUUAUAUUAUUUUUAUUUUUUAAAUUGAAUUUAGGUGAGAUGAAUGAAAACUAAUAUUAAAAAGGUCAUAAUUUUCUAUUAGAUCCUGUACUUUGCGUAAGUUAUGAAUUUAGUACUUAUAUUUUAAUUUGGUUAUUUUCAGUUCCUGUACUUUUAAAUUUGAAAAUUUUAGUCAUGGCCAAAUGAUUUAUUUUUAAAAAUUGAUGUGUCAAACAUAGUGUCACAUGUGUAAUGCUAUGUUUGUUUGUUAUUUUCACAUUUUACUCACAAAAAAUCAAUUAAUAGAUUUAACGACCGUCAUUUGCAUUAAGACUAAAAUUUUGAAAUUCAAAAAAAUCCAAUUGGUGAGCAUGGACUAAAUUUAUAACUUUAUGCAUAAUAUAUGAAUAAUGACAUAAUUUAAUCAAAUAAAUUUAACUGUUACCAUUAAAUCAGGACUACAAUAUCAAAAUUCAAAAUAAAUAAAAAUAAAAAUUGAUUAAAUUAAAGUCGAAAGUUUAAUAUCAUAUUAGACCUAUAAAAACUCUCCGGCUAAAGUCUAAUCCAAGCCCGGCGUCCUACUCCGCAUGUGAACAAAACUACUCAUAAGGCGUAAUGGACAUUGAUGUUUUAACUUAUAAUAAUAUGUCUGACAUAUACUUCCAACUAAUCUUUAUGUUGUUCGAAGGAUCCAAAAGGAAAAAAGGACACUAACCCAUAUCCAGGAAUUGCUGACACGGUUUUUUUUGUCUUUUGUUUUUUUAAAGAUUGAGAUAAGACUAAUACGACGGAGUUGAUUAUUAUGAUGAUAACUACCGACUAUUAAAAAACCCCUUAAAUUACAAAUAACGAUAGUGAUAUCAACUAUUAUUUACAACUCAGAGAGUCAUCUGUUAUUGAGACUACAAGGAACAUCUGAGUUCAGAAUUAAGACAAGCAAAAUGAGUGGCUUGAUGGAGCUUGUAAUUCUUGUCCCAUGUUGUUUCUUCCUCGUAGCUUUAAUAAAGUUCCUUUAUGAUUACCUGUGGGUACCUCUCCGUAUACAGCAUCUGAUGAAUUCACAGGGAAUCAAAGGACCUCCUUACAAAUUCAUCCAUGGAAACAAUGAAGAAGCUACCAAGAUGAGAGAAGAAGCAUUAAGCAAACCUAUGGCCUUGAGGCAUGAUAUAUUUCCUAGAGUGCAGCCACAUAUUUACACCUGGAUCAACAGAUAUGGUAAGAUCCAUGCAUGUUUUUCACUAUAGUGUUCCAAUAUAGUAGUAAAUGAAAUUUUGUAAGUAAUUAAAAGCUGACUUGGUUACUAAUAAAAGUUGUUUAUUCUGAUGAAAGAAGUUUUUUUACUUGAUUAUUAAUAAAAAAUUAGGAUUAUUUUAGUAAUAAAUAAUCAACAAUUGUAUCUAUUUUUAACAGAUGAUACUAAUCAAAUAAACUUCUAUUAAAUAGUUAUAUUUUUAUAAGUAGACAUUAGAAUUGGUAUAGAUAGGGGAGGGAUUUCAUUUUUAUGUUAUGAAAUAUUAAGACACGCUAAAAACCCAAAAACAAAAAAUUUCUCUAUUCUCCGUCAUCUUCAAAUAUUCAUAGGUUGUUUUAUCAAGAACUAUUGCAGAAGUUUUUAUAGAAUAUGAUACUUUUCCUAAUGUUCAGUGUACUAUUUUCAUUAAUGCAAAAUGUAGAUAAUUAUUGGGUUUCAUUAUAUUCUCGACACUUAUUUGUUUGUAACAUUUUUAACGCCUCAAAAUAUAAAUGAGAAGAAAUUGAAUCAUGAAAAAAGUGGCGUUGGUUAAUUUUUAUAAGUUUAUUUUUAUUCUUACCCACCAGUUCUAAGAAAAGAUGUACCCUUUUUUGUUUGAUUAGGGAGGAAUUAUAUUUAUUGGAAUGGUAUUCGAACUGUAUUAGUGAUUUCAGAACCUGAACUAGUCAAAGAGGUUCUGAAAAAUAAUGAAAAUACAUUUCCAAAAAAGAAGCCUUCGAUUUAUUUUAGCAACCUACUGGGGAACGGGCUUGUGUUGAUUGAGGGUGAAAAAUGGUUGAAGCGUCGGAAGCUUGCCAAUCAUGCUUUCCAUGGGGAAAGCUUAAAGGUCAGUCCUCAAAAUAUAUGUAUCGAUUGUAAUUAAUUUACAUGAACUAUACUUAUACUGCAAAAUUAAGGAUCUAUAAUUGUUGGCGAAAUCGUAUAUCGUUGCUUACAUAUUUUGGAGGAUUGUUUGGGUAGAACAUGACACCAGCAGUAAUUGCAAGUGUUGAAACAAUGCUAGAGAAAUGGAAAGGCCAAGAAGGCAAAGAGAUUGAAGUGUUUCAAGAAUUUAGAUUAUUGACUUCAGAAGUGAUAUCCAGGACAGCUUUUGGUAGCAAUUACUUGGAAGGGGAGAAGAUCCUUUCCAUGUUGAAAGAGUUGUCUGUAAUUAUGAGUCGAAAUAAUUUCAAGACUAGAAUUCCUCUCAUCAAGUAUGUUCCAAGAUUUUAACUAGUUUUUGAAUGCAAAUUUUAGGAUGUUUAUCCAUAUGGAUUCAGUUUUCUCCUUAUAUAUGGUUGACACAGCUGGUUUGUUUUUUACAGCAAGUUAUGGAAACCUGCUGAUAUGCUAAGGUCAGAAGAACUUGCAAAAGGAAUACAAGAUUGUGUGAUGAAGAUUGUUAAGAAAAGGGAAGACAAAUUUAAGAAAGGAGAAGCUGAUAGUUUUGGUAAUGAUUUUCUAGGAUUACUUGUAAAUUCCUAUCAUUCGAAAGAUAAUAACAGUCUAUCAAUGGAAGACUUGGUAGAUGAGUGCAAAACAUUUUACUUUGCUGGACAAGGAACUAUUAAUUCCUUACUAGCAUGGAUAGUCUUGCUUUUAGCAACCCAUGGAGAUUGGCAGGAGAAAGCUAGAAGAGAGGUGAUUGACAUAUUCGGUAACCGAAAUCCAGAUUCUGAAGGCAUUUCUAAACUCAAAAUUGUAAGUAUACUGUCCAACAUUCCAAAAUAUUUUGUAUCUCAAUCUCAGGUUUUUUAGUCAGGUCAUGUUUAUCGCAAUUGCAAAUUCAACAAAUACUAUGCAUUUAGUACAUUAUAUUCUUUAAUUUGAUUUGACAUAUUCCUGUUAUGCAAACAGAUGACUAUGAUUAUUUAUGAAACUCUAAGAUUAUAUGGUCCAUCAAAUGGCCUACCAAGAGGAGUUGCAAGAGAAGUGCAGUUGGGAAAACUAGUCUUGCCUUCUAACAUAGAUCUUCUGGUCCAAAAUAUUGCACUUCACCAUGACCCUUACCUGUGGGGAGAUGAUGUGCAUCUUUUUAAACCAGAGAGAUUUGCAAAAGGGAUUGCCAAAUCUACCAAUUACAAUGCAGCUGCAUUUUUUCCCUUUGGAUUAGGACCUCGAUCUUGUGUUGGUAUGUCCUUUGCAACCACAGAAACGAAGAUUGUGCUCUCCAUGAUUCUACAACGCUACACCUUUACCCUCUCCCCUGCCUAUGUCCACUCACCAAUGCCUAUUGUCGACCUUCAACCGCAACAUGGAAUUCAAGUAAUACUUGAACCACUGCAUAACAAUGAUUGAUGUACACAACAGCUAAGGACAUGGGAUUCAACUCUGUUUGUUACAACAUUCACCUUUAAGAGGUAACAUUUAAGAUAUCCGGGGUUUUUAGUAUUAACAACCCCUUCCCUAUUCCUAAGCUACGCCCUCCUCUAAACAAAAAGAAAUCUAUGCAUUUGCUAGUUUCCUUAGAUGGUAAAACAUGUGAUUAAACAAUACAUCCUUCAUAUGGCGCAUAUUCCAGCAAGUAAACAGUUAUAUUAUAAUGCAUUUUACUUCACCAUUCUGCUCAUAUUUCAUUUGAAUUGCAGUGUUAUCAUCCUAAAGUCACUCUAGCAAGCAAUGAGGUUGCAAGUUUCUGAUAAAUUUAGUUCUAACAGACUACUUAAGCUAAUCCACCUUGGUGCUUUGUUUUCUUUUCCUAAACUAUAUUUUUUGCUAUUCCUAGCCCAUUUAAGCAUUCAGUUGGAAGAUGGUCGAGAGUUGUUAUAGCAUUCGGAAAGAAAAGGUUAGUGUGUGUUAAGUGACUGUGUGAGGCUAAGGUUAUGAUAAUCUUCAGAUUGGUUCUGCUUACAUUAUCUAUAAUAUAAAAUUUACUUUUUAAAAAGUUGUUUAACAAGCUUAUAGCUAAGAUAGGAUAUCCAAAUAAAAUAUAUUAACAAAAAGUAACGAACAAGUGUUGGGUGGAAUGAUAAUUGCAGUAUCAAGGGGAGAAACUUUUGAUGGAAAAAAGUGCUAGGUACCCGUAAUGUUCAGGCAAACCUUCUUCAUGUAAAACUUCGCCGGAAAGAUGAUUUCAUAGGGUUCUAUUUCGUCUUCAAUCCAAUCAUUGUUCACGUUUUUUUUUCUUAUCAAUAAAUAGAUCUAUUUACUUGUAUGACUUAGAUAUCUCGUAUCUCUCAAAAUAAUGGUUCGAUUGAUGAGAUUUGUUACGAUAUUUAUGAGAUCAAUGAUAUCGAUGAUAUUGAUAUUCAAAUAUUUCUUCUUAAAUCAUAUUGAUUUAACCCCAUAAGCAAGAACACCACCCCAUAAUGUUGCCUCCAAAAGCAGAACCUCGUAUUUCCUCUAGAGAAUCUCUUAAUUGUUCAAGAGUACCUAGAAUGAAAUUCUUUAAUUAGAAAGAAUUUAGUUUAGAUGUAGGAUAUCUAUCCAGAAGUUUUCGCAACUCAUGAUAUAGAAUCAUAAAAAAAAUUCUGACUUUUUAAACAAAUAGAUCACUUGGGUGUAGAAAAGAAAUAAUUAAUAAUAAAAAUUGGUAUAAUUAGAAAAGAAUAUCUUAAGAGUUCAUUUUGUUCUCACACUAACUUUUAAUAUUUAUAUAUUAUUUUAUAAAGAAAUAUUAUAAAAAAUUCUUUUAAAAAUUGAUAUUUUUAUAAUACAUCACUCAAUGUUGAAUACAUUUCAUUAAUAAACAAUAAUUAGCUUAAUUAUUAAGAGUUGAAUUAACUAUUUUUUAAUGAAGCAUUCUCUCUCUAAAAUCUCCAUCCUCACCACUAUUCUUAUCUAAUUCACCUUCAAGUUUUAAAAUCAAUGCUCUAUCAUGUUUUGAUUUUCUUUUAAAUUUAUUUUAAAUUUUAAAAAUUCCUUUUUUAAAAUCUCAAAUAUAUUACAUUUCACACUUUUAAGAAAAUAAUGUACGUUCAAACAUUGAAAAUGACAUAAUUAAAUAAGAUAAUCACGAAUCCUGAAAAUGAACCUAAAACGAUUUGUCCAAUUCAAAAUUUGGAAUGAUAGAAUCUUAAUAGAAAAUUUAACCUAAUUUUUUGAAUAAUCUUAUUGAGGAAGAAAGAAGAUGGGACAAGAAUUACAAACUUCAUCAAGCCACUCAUUUUUCUGCUUUUGCUUCUUAUAUCAUGUUUGACGCUAUUUUGUCUUUUUUACUUGUAAAUUAGAAGAGAUGCUCCCAAUUAUUCAUUCAUCCUCUCAUAUUCAAUUGCUUAUUGUAAACUUAAUUUAAAGGAUCAAUGAUUUAUAUAAUCUCCAUGAAAUUUCUGUCACUAUUUUUUUUAUUAUUUUUUUCUAGCCAUUGUUGACUAACUGCACCUGUUAGUGGUGAAAUGAAAAAUUUUUCAUUUUACACCCUUUAUAAUUUAUAAAAUUUUAAAUUAAUAAUAAUAAAAUUAUAUUUUGACUUCUCUAAAACUGAUAAAAAUUUAAUUUAAUCUUUCAAAAAUUAUAAAAUGUAAACUAUUAAAAUAAUGAAAUUACAUUUUUAGAUUAUAUAAACUAUUAAAAUUUCGAAUAUUUUGAUGUAAUUAAAAAUAAUUGUUUAAACUAUCCUUUUAAAAAUAUAUUUAAUAUUUUAAUAUAUAAAAAAUUCCGUAUUAAAAUUAAAAUAUUUAAAUAAUCAUGUUGUAUAUAUAUUGAAACACGUUUGAAUUUUAUAUAUCAAAAUAUAUUUUAAAUUAUCACGUGAACAAGCUAUAUUCUAUAAAAAGGAAACACGUAAUAUAUACUAUUUAAAUAAUCAUGUUUUUAAAUAAAUUACACUUUUGGUCCUUUUCUUUUUGAAAAUUUGUAGUUAUGUCACCUAACUUGAGAUUUUUUAUCACCGAAAUUUGUAAACCUAUUAAUAUAUUAUUUGAAUUAGAAUUUCUUGGUUCAGUACUUAAAAUUUUGUAGAUGUUCAAUGGAAUAUAUUUAUUCCAACUUUAAAUUUAAAGAAUAAAAAUAUAAUAAAGUAAAAGUUGAUAUAUAAUCUUAAUUUUGUAUAGACUAAUUUCAAACUCAAUGCUACCAACAACUCCUAGAAAGAGUAUCCACUAAUAACAACAAACUUACAUGAGUGAGGCAUUUAUUGAAACAAUCAGCAACCAAUUUUGACUCUUUUUACCAAUUAUUUUAUAUAUUUAUUUGUAUUUUGAAGUUAACUUUAAAAUAUUCUAUAUAAAAUGAAUUUAAUAACAAUAAAUUGCCUUUUACGUUUACGAAAUUUGACCAAAUGAAAACGUUUCAAAGUGAAAGACAGUAUGGAAUCCAAAUUAUAGCUGAUGAAAUGUUAUUUCUUUUAAUUAUUAAAAACAUUAUAAUUAAGAGAUAUGAUUAUUUUAAUAAAUAGUUAUAAUUAUUAUUAAAAAAUUUCACUAUUUAAAUAGUGUUAUGAAUAUCUUAUUAAGUGGAUGUCCAUCAAGAUCAAUAUAAGUCUUUGAUGUACUUUAAAUUCUAAUAGCCAUUAGAAGUAGGUUUUGCAAAUAUUCUGAUUGAUCAAUAAAUUACGCUCUCUCUUUGUUCUCCUUCUUCUUUGUUCUUUGUCUUUUAUUUUAUAACACGUUAUCAUAACGAUUCUCUUUUAAUUGUUUUUCUCCAUAAGUCACAAAAAUAUCCAAAAAUUUAUUGUUAUCGAUUGCCUCCUAGAGUUGCUACGCGCACUAUGGGUAAUCAUUAGAGCCUUUAACCAAUGAGGUACACAUAAUUCUCUACAUUUUUUUAUGUCCUUUUAUGUAAAAAAAUUUAUAUAAUUCUUACGUGGUAUGUUUUUCUCCUUUAUUUAUUGAUUUUUGGAAAAAUUAUUUUACAAAAAAAAGUAUUAUUACUUUAAGGUUUCUUUUAAACUAAGAUUCGCAUAAUAUUUAAAUGUUUAAAGAUUUGAUUAUUAAAUUCUUGUCAUUAAAUAUUCUUGUAAUAUGAUUAAAAUUAUAGUGGAAAGUGUUAUUAACCUACCAUAGUUGAUCUAUUGAGUCUUACUAACUUUCUAAUGUUGAAUGAUUGUAUUAUAUCUUUUAAAUUGAAUUUAUAAAUAUUUGAUUAGAAGCUUCAAAAGAUUAAUUUAUAACAUAUAUGUGGUAUUGAAAUUUGGUACAAUGUGUAUCAAAUAACUUUCAAGCAUCGUACACACAAACUAAAUGAUUUUUUUACUAUUAGAUUAUAAAUGUUAUUACAAAAACAAAAUUGUUUUACUACUUGUCAUAUUGCUCGUGAUAAUAGCCAAGGUGAUACAAUGAUGUUAAAGAAUCUCAGGUAUAUUUUAUUAUAAUUUAUUUAUUAUGCCAUGUUUAUUAUAAUUGGAGACUAAUCACGACAACAUGAAUAGAUAGAUUUUGAUUUAAAAUCCACGCAUGUUUUGCAAUGGUGAUUAUGAAAUAAAGAAUCAAUGGAGGCGUUUAGAAGUAUGCCCCACUAGAUUUGUUGCAUUCCUUGAAGUGAAUGUAAACAUAAAGAAAAUAAAAGAUAUAAUCAUGGAUCACUAAAAGUGGGAACAUAGUAAUAAAUAAGAGAACAAUGAGAGUUCUCCAGAUAACUCUUCAAAGGGUAAAUAUAACUUAUGUUAUCAAUGUGAUAUGAAAUAUUAUUGGCCACAUAUGUGGCGUAUCCCAAAUAUUUUGUUUCUGUUAAUAUUUUUGAGGAAGGAUAUGAGAAUGUAGAAAUAAAUUAUGUUAUUACAGAUAUAAAAUAUUUAUCUUAUUUGAUACUGAAACAAACAAAUAUUAUUCAAAUAUUUGGUAGUACAAAAUUAGUCGACAGCUCCAGAAGAGCUAAUAUAUUAAUAUCAUCCCCAAUGGUUAAUCCAUUGGUUUUAAAAACUAUUCAUUGUAAUGGAUCUCAUAUUGAGAUUGUAAAUGAGGAAAAAAUUAUAUUUCAUAUGAAUCACUAUUGCUAUAAAUAUCUAUUUUAAAAAGAUAAAAAAAAAGGGAAGGAUUGAGUUAUUAGUUAAUCUUGUUAUUAAAUUGAAUUUAUUAUGACUAUCUUUGUGAUCUUUUGUCAUCAUCCCCAUUAAGGGGUUGAAAGCAAAAUAUUUAACUGUGAAAAAUCUACUUAUGAGCAAUAGAAUAUGGUAAUUCUAUCUAAAACUUGUUAUGGUUGGAUGCACUUGAAGUUGCAAGUUUUUUAAAACAAUGAGUAUAACUCUAUAGUAUUCAGAAUAAGAUCUUAAUUAAAAUUACGUGAAAAAAUAUUACUGAUGAGAAAUUGCAAGAGAGAAAACUUAUGUAUGAAAAAGUCAUUGGUUAUGUACCUGUUGUACACCUGGAAAAUAAAAUCCACUCUUAAAGCUUGCUAUUAAUAGAUUUUGGUUGGAUUCAAAGUCUACUACUGAAGUUUAAUUUGUUUACUUCUUGAUCAAAUCGUCAAGACUCAACGCAGAAAAAAAAAGGUACAUAUUAAAAUAUUAAAUCAACUUGAUAUAUGGUUUAAAGAUUUGAAAUGGUCUUCUUUUUAAGUUUUGAUUACAUGGCUUACAUAUUGUUUUCGGUAUCUUAUUUGUUCAUGAAAAUGACUAUUAACUGAUUUUAUAACAACCCAAAACUCGACCCAGAAGUUUUGACCAAAUUCCGGAGGUUUCAUUGGCCACCCGAAGUGGCAAAAGUAAAAACUCUGAAUUAAACAUAGAAAAUUCUUUUCGAAACCAUUUUGAUGACUAAUUAUAGCAAGUUAGAUAAAAACUUAGUUAUAUUUUGAAAACAAUGUUUACUUGGCGGCAAUGACUAAGUCAGGAAUAAACCAAAUUGGUCUUUCUUGAACAGUUUCAAAAGCAUCAAAUUUUAUCAAUCACAAACCAAAAUUCAAAACUGGAAACACAUAAUUUAACGAACAAUCCAAUUACAAAACCCAUACCACAUUUUAUAAACUCCCUUACAAAUAAACUAAAAAUAAUAAAUUGAAUUUAAGAAAUAUUGUUAAAACAAACCAAACUUUUUAAGUAUCCGAGGCCUCCAAUAUGCCGAGUCCAACCUCCAAGCUCCAAGUUAACCUAAAAGAGAGGAAACUAAGGGGAUGAGUUAUACGAGCUCAGUGUGAGACUGGAAGAGUGGUGAAGGCAAAAGACCGUAUACCAAAAUGGAUAUCUUAAAAGAAAUCUUGCAGACUAAGUGUGAAAGUCUAGUGUGAAAGUCUCGAUCCGGUACUCAGACAUAUAAACAAUGUCAUUGCCAAACAUAACAUAAAGAUAAUAUACUUAACACACUAAUUACUUAAUCAUGUCGGACUACUUAAAUUAUUUCAAGGAUGUGCUAUUAUCCUUGCAAACAGACUUAUACUCAAAUAUGAAAAUGUAUGCAGCAAACUAAACUCACCCAACCAACUGAACAUCACUUCGUCCACCCUGCACACCACACAAGACUAUAAUAAUCCUAUCUACCCAGCACACUACAUAGGACCAUGAUAGGUCCAUCCACCCUACACAUCACAAAUGUGGAACUAAGCCACUAGAAUUCAAAUGUGCAGCUGAGCUGACAUAUGUAUAAAAUCAUGCAGUAACCCGCUAGACAAAAAAUAUUGCAGUUGAACUGCCAAAUCAGUCUUUCUUCUCUUCACAACCAAAAUCCUAGAUUUUUAUGCAAAUGGAUGAAUGCACACAAUUCGCUAACAGACUCAUCGAAAUAGAGACAUAUUUUCGGUUGAAUACAUUUAGAAUCAAUUAUACUUAUAUUCAUUCACUAGGUAAUAUUUCAAAUCCAUUUAUCACAUCAUAUUAAUGCAUAAAUAAACAAUUAACUUUAAUCCUAUAAUUGCAAAUACACACACAAGUUUGAGCUGAAACAAAGUCCCAACACACUUACAGAGACCUUAACAAACGUUGGGCUACACAGAAACUAAAGCGAGUCAAUUUACAGAAAAGGACAAAAAUUUGUGAAACAGAGCCAUACAGCCGUGUGGAGGAGUUCAGACCGUAUGAGGGGUCUACAAGGCCGUAUGAAAGAGGGACACGACAGUGUGUUGGAGACACAUGCCUGUGUGAUAGGGUUACAUGGUCGUGUGAAUAACCCGUGUAACUCACUGUGCAUUUGUGUAAAAUUUAGCAAAAUUUGAGAAGCAAAACAGACACAGUUGUAUGGCCAACUCAAAUGCCCGUCUGGCUAAGAAACACGACUGCGUGUCCAAGGCAUACGCUCAUGUAGAAAAUAAUUAAAUCCCCAAACAUAGCCACACGAUCGUUUGGCACACCCCAAUUCGUAUGACAAAAAAUUACCCUAAUUUCGUAGUGACACACGGCCGUGUGGACCGCCCGUGUGGCUACCCAUGUGGUCACAAAACCACACCGAAAUAGGCUGAAAAUUGUGAAUUUGCAAUAGCAAAACAAUCCUUAAUCACUAAUAGUUUAGAAACAUACCUUAAAUUGGGACUCCGGUCACCAAUAACUGAUUGUUUCGCCUCCACAAAACUGUUCUAGAACUCAAUUACAAUUACCCACAAAAUAUUUUAAAACCUCAGUCAACAAUAUUAAAGAAUCAAGAAAAUCAAACUAAAAUUUAAAAGGAGUACUUACACAUUUCAGCACUAAAACUAAUGAACAUGCAAAUCUCCUAACAAAGCAACCGAAACCAAGGCCCCAAUGAACCGCCAAAAUAGCGCAAAACUAGCAAACCUUAAUAACCUAAUGGUGACAAGAGAAACUAAAGAACUAGAGAAUAAAGGCACCACAAAAACUCAAUGGCCAAAAAGAAUCAAAAAUUGAAACUGGAAAUGAAAUAGAGGAAAAACAACGUGUGAGAGAAAAGAGAAAAAUAAAUAAAAUCAACGAACCCACCUUAUAUGUGAAGGAAUAAGGAAAGGACACCACGCUGAUACUAUCCUUAUAUGUUGACGAUCUAUUAGAAAUUGGCAUUAGUGGAAACCUGCUAGUUGAGUUCAAGAAACAAAUGCGAGCUGAAUUUGAAAUGUUUGAUCUUGGAGACAUGACUUAUUUUCUUGGUCUAAAACUAUUUCAGUCAGAUCAAGGUAUCUUCAUCAAUCAAAAGAGCUUUGCCUUGAAGAUAUUGAACUGAUUUUGUAUGGAAAAUUGAAAGCCAGCAGGGACUCCCAUUGCUCAAGGUAAAAAACUCCCAAGCCAUGGUUAAUUUGAAAUAGUUGAUGAAGGCAAUUAUAGGAGCCUUAUAGGAUGUUUACUUUAUUUGAUAGCAUCGUGGCCAGAUAUUAUCUUUUCUGUCAGUCUUUUUUCAAGAUUUAUGCAUUGUUGUAAUGUGAUCCAUUUUAAAGUUACGAAGAGGGUUCUAAGGUAUGUCAAAGGAACUUUGAGUUAUGGAGUUGAAUAUGUGAAGGAAAAGGAGCUAAAGUUGGCUGGUUUCACAAACAGUGAUUGGGCUGGUUCUGUCGAACAUAUAUAUGAAGAGCACUUCAGGGUACUUCUUCACUUUGAGAUCAAGUGUAUUCAUUUAGAGCUCAAGGAAGCAAGAAAUUGUUGCACAAUCAGAGUACAUCACAAUAACUGCAGCAGCAAGCCAAACACUUUGGCUAAGAAAGUUAAUGUCUGAUUUAAAUCUUAAGUAAGUUGAAGCAACAGAGAUAUAUUGUGACAAUCAAUCUGCUAUUGCAAUUUGAAAGAACCCUAUCUUCCAUGACAAGGCAAAACACUUCAAGAUAAAAUACCACUUUAUUAGAGAAGUCGAGCAAUAAAAUGAAGUGAAGCUUGUUCAUUGCAGUUCAGAUAUUCAACUUGCUGAUAUUCUCACAAAACCUCUUGAAAAGUUGAGGUUCGAGAGGCUAAGACAUGAUAUUGGAGUUUGCGGCAUUAUUGCCAAGGAAGAGUGUUGUGAAGUGGCGAUUCAUACAGUGGCGAACUCAACAUGCAAAGGCACGAGCUCAAACAAGUUUGUGAGCUCUACACUUCCGAGCUCAUCCAAAGUUGUGGGCUUACCUAAAGAUGCGAGCUCAACUCAAGUUGCGAGCAUGUCAAAGUGUGAGCGUGUUAAGUUUUUUGGUNNNNNNNNNNNNNNNNNNNNNNNNNNNNNNNNNNNNNNNNNNNNNNNNNNNNNNNNNNNNNNNNNNNNNNNNNNNNNNNNNNNNNNNNNNNNNNNNNNNNGUUGCAAGUUUUUUAAAACAAUGAGUAUAACUCUAUAGUAUUCAGAAUAAGAUCUUAAUUAAAAUUACGUGAAAAAAUAUUACUGAUGAGAAAUUGCAAGAGAGAAAACUUAUGUAUGAAAAAGUCAUUGGUUAUGUACCUGUUGUACACCUGGAAAAUAAAAUCCACUCUUAAAGCUUGCUAUUAAUAGAUUUUGGUUGGAUUCAAAGUCUACUACUGAAGUUUAAUUUGUUUACUUCUUGAUCAAAUCGUCAAGACUCAACGCAGAAAAAAAAAGGUACAUAUUAAAAUAUUAAAUCAACUUGAUAUAUGGUUUAAAGAUUUGAAAUGGUCUUCUUUUUAAGUUUUGAUUACAUGGCUUACAUAUUGUUUUCGGUAUCUUAUUUGUUCAUGAAAAUGACUAUUAACUGAUUUUAUAACAACCCAAAACUCGACCCAGAAGUUUUGACCAAAUUCCGGAGGUUUCAUUGGCCACCCGAAGUGGCAAAAGUAAAAACUCUGAAUUAAACAUAGAAAAUUCUUUUCGAAACCAUUUUGAUGACUAAUUAUAGCAAGUUAGAUAAAAACUUAGUUAUAUUUUGAAAACAAUGUUUACUUGGCGGCAAUGACUAAGUCAGGAAUAAACCAAAUUGGUCUUUCUUGAACAGUUUCAAAAGCAUCAAAUUUUAUCAAUCACAAACCAAAAUUCAAAACUGGAAACACAUAAUUUAACGAACAAUCCAAUUACAAAACCCAUACCACAUUUUAUAAACUCCCUUACAAAUAAACUAAAAAUAAUAAAUUGAAUUUAAGAAAUAUUGUUAAAACAAACCAAACUUUUUAAGUAUCCGAGACUUCUGAUAUGCCGAGUUCAACCUCCAAGCUCCAAGUUAACCUGAAAAGAGAGGAAACUAAGGGAAUAAGCUAUACGAGCUCAGUGUGAGACUGGAAGAGCGGUGAAGGCAAAAGACCGUAUACCAAAAUGGAUAUCUUAAAAGAAAUCUUGCAGACUAAGUGUGAAAGUCUUGAUCUGGUACUCAGACAUAUAAACAAUGUCAUUGCCAAACAUAACAUAAAGAUAAUAUACUUAACACACUAAUUACUUAAUCAUGUUGGACUACUUAAAUUAUUUCACAGAUGUGCUACUAUCCUUGCCAACAGACUUAUACUCAAAUAUGAAAAUGUAUGCAACAAACUAAAAACUCACCCAACCAACUGAACACCACUUCGUCCUUCCUGCACACCACACAAGGCUAUAAUAAUCCUAUCUACCCAGCACACCACAUAGGACCAUGAUAGGUCCAUCCACCCUACACAUCACAAAUGUGUAACUCAGCCACUAGAAUUAAAAUGUGCGGCUGAGCUGACAUAUGUAUAAAAUCAUGCAGUAACCCGCUAUACAAAAAUAUUGUAGUUGAACUGCUAAAUCAGUCUUCCUUCUCUUCACAACCAAAAUCCUAGAUUUUUAUGCAAAUGCAUGAAUGCACACAAUUCACUAACAGACUCAUCGAAAUAGAGACAUACUUUCGGUUGAAUACAUUCAGAAUCAAUUAUACUUGUAUUCAUUCACUAGGUAAUAUUUCAAAUCCAUUUAUCACAUCAUAUUAAUGCAUAAAUAAACAAUUAACUUUAAUCCUAUAAUUGCAAAUACACACACGGAUUUGAGCUGAAACAAAGUCCCAACACACUUACAGAGACCUUAACAAACAUUGGGCUACAUAGAAAUUAAAACGAGUCAGUUUACAAAACAGGACAAAAAUUUGUGAAAUAGAGCCAUACGGCCGUGUGGAGGAAUUCAGACCACGUGAGGGGUCUACACGGCCGUAUGAAAGAGGGACAUGACAGUGUGUUGGAGACACACACCUGUGUGAUAGGGUUACAUAGUCGUGUGAGUAACCUGUGUAACUCACUGUGCAUUUGUGCAAAAUUUAGCAAAAUUUGAGAAGCAGAAUAGACACAGUUGUAUGGCCAACUCAAAUGCCCGUCUGGCUAAGAAACACGACUGUGUGUCCAAGGCAUAUGCUCGUGUAGAAAAUAAUUAAAUCCCCAAAUAUAGCCACACGACCAUUUGGCACACCCUAAUUUGUAUGACAAAAAAAUUACCCUAAUUUCGCAGUGACACACGGCCGUGUGGACCGCCCGUGUGGCUACCCAUGUGGUCACGAAACCACACCGAAACAGGUUGAAAAUCGUGAAUUUACGACAGCAAAACAAUUCCUAAUCACUAAUAGUUUAGAAACAUACCUUAAAUCGGGACUCCGAUCACUAAUAACUGAUUGUUUCACCUCCACAAAACCAUUCUAGAAACUCAAUUACAAUUACCCACAAAAUAUUUUAAAACCUCAGUCAACAAUAUUAAAGAAUCAAGAAAAUCAAACUAAAAUUUAAAAGGAGUACUUACACAUUUCAGCACUAAAACUAAUGAACAUGCAAAUCUCCUAACAAAGCAACCAAAACCAAGGCCCCAAUGAACCACCAAAAUAGCGCAAAACUAGCAAACCUUAAUAACCUAAUGGUAACAAGAGAAACUAAAGAACUAGAGAAUAAAGGCACCACAAAAACUCAAUGGCCAAAAAGAAUCAAAAAUUGAAACUGGAAAUGAAAUAGAGGAAAAACAACGUGUGAAAGAGAAAAGAGAAAAAUAAAUAAAAUCAACGAACCUACCUUAUAUGUGAAGGAAUAAGGAAAGGAAACCAUGCUGAUACUAUCCUUAUAUGUUGACGAUCUGUUAGAAAUUGGCAUUAGUGGAAACCUGCUAGUUGAGUUCAAGAAACAAAUGCGAGCUGAAUUUGAAAUGUUUGAUCUUGGAGACAUGACUUAUUUUCUUGGUCUAAAACUAUUUCAGUCAGAUCAAGGUAUCUUCAUCAAUCAAAAGAGCUUUGCCUUGAAGAUAUUGAAUAGAUUUUGUAUGGAAAAUUGAAAGCCUGUAGGGACUCCCAUUGCUCAAGGUGAAAAACUCCCAAGCCAUGGUUAAUUUGAAAUAGUUUAUGAAGGCAGUUAUAGGAGCCUUAUAGGAUGUUUGUUUUAUUUGACAGCAUCGUGGCUAGAUAUUAUCUUUUCUGUCAGUCUUUUUUAAAGAUUUAUGCAUUGUUGUAAUGUGAUCCAUUUUAAAGCUACGAAGAGGGUUCUAAGGUAUGUCAAAGGAACUUUGAGUUAUGGAGUUGAAUAUGUGAAGGAAAGGAGCUAAAGUUGACUGAUUUCACAAAUAGUGAUUGGGCUGGUUCUGUUGAACAUAUGAAGAGCACUUCAGGGUACUUCCUCACUUUGAGAUCAAGUGUAUUCAUUUAGAGCUCAAGGAAGCAAGAAACUGUUGCACAAUCAACCGCUGAAAUUGAGUACAUCGCAAUAACUGCAGAGCAAGCCAAACACUUUGGCUAAGAAAGUUGAUGUCUGAUUUAAAUCUUAAGUAAGUCGAAGCAACAGAGAUAUAUUGUGACAAUCAAUCUGUUGUUGCAAUUUGAAAGAACCCUAUCUUCCAUGACAAGGCAAAACACUUCAAGAUAAAAUACCACUUUGUUAGAGAGGUCGAGCAAUAAAAUGAAGUGAAGCUUGUUCAUUGCAGUUCAGAUAUUCAACUUGCUGAUAUUCUCACAAAACCUCUUGAAAAGUUGAGGUUCGAGAGGCUAAGACAUGAUAUUGGAGUUUGCGGCAUUAUGGCCAAGGAGAAGUGUUGUGAAGUGGGGAUUCAUACAGUGGCGAACUCAAAAGGCACGAGCUCAAACAAGUCUGCGAGCUCUACACUUCUAAGCUCAUCCAAACCAAAGUUGUGGGCUUACCUAAAGAUGCGAGCUCAACUCAAGUUGCGAGCAUGUCAAAGUGUGAGCUGUUAAGUUUUUUGGUGAAACCCUAGUUAAAGUGCGAGCAGGGUUCACAUAUCUUGAUAUCAAUGUUUUUUUUCUUUAGUCUACUUAUUUGAGUUUACUUGUCAAAGCAAAUAGAGUUAGUAUUGAUUUUAUGUUUUUAAGUAUUGAUUUGUUAACUUAUUAUUGUAAUUCAUGUGAACUGAAAGAUGACAAAUUUAUGCUCUCUCAACUUCUCAAAACACCAGCAGCAUCCCUGUCAUCAUUUUAAUAUCUUUAUAAAUUUUAAAUGAUUAAAUAAAAUUUUUAUCAAUUUUGAGAUCAAAGUACAAUUUUACCCUUAUUAAUUUAAAAUUUUAUAAAUUAUUUCACAUUAGAUUACCAUUUACAUCCUUUGUUCAGUUUGGCUAUAAAACUAAAGGCACAUAUGGAUUCAGUGGUAAGAGAAGAAAAAAAGAGUGACUUGAUGGAGCUUGUAAUUCUUGUCCCAUGUUGUUUCUUCCUCGUAGCUUUAAUAAAGUUCCUUUAUGAUUACCUGUGGGUACCUCUCCGUAUACAGCAUAUGAUGAAUUCACAGGGAAUCAAAGGACCUCCUUACAGAUUCAUCCAUGGAAACAGCAAGGAAGUUGCCAGAAUGGAACAAGAAGCAUUAAGCAAACGUGUGGCCUUAACAGAUGAUAUAUUUCCCAAAGUACUGCCACAUUUUUACGCCUGGAUCAACAGAUAUGGUAAGAUCCAUGCAUGUUUUUUCAUUAUGAUUUAUAACUCGUAGUUCUAAGAAAAGAUUGACCUUUUUCUUUUCAAGUGAUUAGGGAGGAAUUUUGUUUAUUGGAACGGUGCGCGACCUGAAUUGGUGAUUUCAGAGCCUGAAUUAAUCAAAGAGGUUCUGCAAACUAGUGAAAAAAAAAUUCAAGAAAAGAGCCUUUCAGAUAUUGGUAAGGAGUUCCUGGGGAAUGGGCUUCUAUUCAUUGCGGGGGAAAAAUGGGCAAAGCAUCGAAAGCUAGCCAAUCACGCUUUCCAUGGGGAAAGCCUUAAGGUAAAUCCUCCAGUAUGAUUAAUUGACAAGAAUUAUACAGACUACAGAAUUUUGUAUUGUUGCCUAACAACCAGUUUAUAGUCGAAGUUGAAAGUAUUCGUAGAAAAGUAUUUUUUUAACCUCAAUAGUAAGCAAAGUCUAAAUAGUAUGUGGCAACUACUUAUAUAUUGAAGGAUUGUUUGGGCAGAACAUGACUCCAGCAAUAAUUGCUAGCGUUGAAACAAUGCUAGAAAAGUGGAAAGGUCAAGAAGGCAGAGAGAUUGAAGUGUUGAAAGAAUUUAGGUUAUUGACUUCAGAAGUGAUUUCCAGAACAGCUUUUGGUAGCAGUUACUUAGAAGGGGAGAAGAUUUUUGCCAUGUUACAGAAGUUGACAAUAAUUAUGAGUCGAAAUCUUUUUAAGACUAGAAUUCCUUUGAUCAGGUAUCUUCCCUAUAAGCUUAAUUAAUCCCAACUUUUACCUUGAUUUCAGCUAGCUUUUGAAUGCAACUUUUGGACUUUCAUUCCCCAUGGAUUUGGUUUUCUCCUUAUAUAUAGCUGACCAUUGUUUGCUUUUGCAGCAAGUUGUGGAAAUCUUCUGAUUUGCUAGAGUCUGAAAAACUUUCAAAAGAAAUAAAAGAUCGUGUGAUGAAGAUUGUUAAGAAAAGAGAAGACGAAGCUGUGAAUGGAGAAGUCAAUAGCUUUGGCAAUGAUUUUCUUGGAUUACUUGUAAAUGCCUAUCAUGAUUCGGACGAGAAAAACAGGUUUUCAUUGGAAGACUUGUUAGCUGAAUGCAAAACAUUCUAUUUUUCUGGACAAGAAACUGUUAAUUCCUUACUUUCAUGGAUAGUCUUGCAUUUGGCAAUCCACGGAGAUUGGCAAGAAAAAGCGAGAAGAGAGGUGAUUGACAUAUUUGGUAACCAAAAUCCGCAUCUCGAAGGCGUCGCCAAACUCAAAAUAGUAAGAAAACUAUCUAACUGGGAAUUCAAAUAGCCAUCAACAUGAUGUAAUCUAACAUAUUUUUCUAUUUUCCAAACAGACGACCAUGAUCAUCAAUGAAACUCUAAGAUUGUAUGGUCCAUCAAAUGGCCUGGCAAGAGCAGUUACAAGAGAAGUUCAGUUGGGAAAGCUACUCUUGCCUGCUAAUAUAAGUAUUCUGCCUUUAUAUAUUGGAAUUCACCAUGACCCUCACUUUUGGGGAGAUGAUGUGCAUCAUUUUAAACCCGAGAGAUUCGCUGAAGGGAUUGCGAAAGCUACCAAUUAUACCGCGGCUGCAUUUCUUCCCUUCGGGUUGGGACCUCGAUCUUGUGUUGGUAUGACAUUUGCAACAAUAGAAACCAAGAUUGUUCUCUCCAUGAUUCUACAACGUUACACCAUUACCCUCUCCCCUGCCUAUAUCCACUCUCCGAUAUCCAUUCUCAGCAUUAGACCACAACAUGAAAUUCAGGUGAUACUUGAACCACUGCAUCAUAAUGCUUGAAGUACAUAGCUGUUAAGAACUAAGGGUUUAACGUGGUUCAUGUAUUUUAGGUUUAAGAGAUGACAUUUAAUAUGUUUAAGGUUCCAGCAUUUGCAUCCCCUUCCCUAUCCUAAGCUAUACCCACCUUUAUACAUAAUGAAAUUCAAGUAGCUACUGAUUUCCAAGAUGGUAAAACGCAAUCAAUAAAGAAGAAUAUGUUGAGGCAAGUUUCGGGAACAGUGACUUGAAAACUGACAACUGCACUCGGCACGUGUUCCUUAUUUGUUAGCAUGUUUAAAAUAAAUAUUUUAAUUAUUUGCUUGCAUCUUUUUAAAGAUUUUGUACAUUCUUAAACUAAUGGUUAUACUAAGGCUUGUUAGCGGUUUAAACUUUGGGCAAAGCACAAUAGACGUAGAUAUGUUCUCCCUGAUUGGUGUCGAAUUUACUAAAAAUAAAUUCUUCUACUUGAUACUGAAAUUAAAUUUAUAAUAUAGAGAGUAAAGUCGAUCCCACAUAAGUUAAUCUAUCCAAAUAUAUAUUCUUUAUAACUAGAACGUGUCCCAAGUAGUUUUUAUGCCCAUGACUUGUGCGAACCUGUACCAAAAAUAAGAGGGGAUAAAAUCUGAAAAAUAAAUAAACAACCGAAAUUAAUUAAAAAUAAAAAUAAAGUAGAAAUAAGUAAAAUGAAAUAAUAUUAUUGAAUUAAAUAAUUUCAGUUUUUAUAAAAAAAAAUUUAUCAUACACACCUGGAAAAUAUGAAACACAUGGUUAAAUCUUAUUGGCUUCUGGACUAAAAAUAUUAAAUAAAAGAAAGUUUUGGGUAAAAACAAUUUAAACAUGAAUGUGAGAAAGUGAGUAUAGUUUAAGAGCUAAAAUAUGAAUAAAGUCUAAAUAAAUUCCUAAAAUAUAAAAAUUCAUAAAUACAUUAAUGUGAUUAUAUAUAAUCAAAAUUAAAUAUUAAAAUCAAACUAAAUAUGAUUUAAACUUGAAUGAAACUCGUAAUUCUCGUAAAAUUCUUAUUCAAAAAUAAGUUUUUGAACUCGAAAUAAGAAAAUAAAUUUAUUAAAAGAGGCAACCACUUAACAGUGGAUGAUACAAGUCCUUGCAAGAGCAAUUACAAAAUCUGCUGAACUGCACAAUUAACAUACACCAAUAUGACAUCACCACAAGAAAAGCACACUUUACCAAUGCCAGAAAACCAUAGCCCGGAGCAGAAAACAAGAAGCGAGAGAGCAAGUUAUAUCUGAAAACAAGCACUACUACGAAACCCUUCUCAACAUGGCAAACACCACAUCAGAAACUAAGACAAACAGCAGCUCCACCCAUAAUCCAGAACCAAGCAACUAACUAUAGUGAUCGCCCUUGCUUAAAAAAAAAAAGAAAACUUUACAUAGAUCAACGAGUAAGCAUUGGACCUCACCCCAAGUAAGAAAACGAUCCAUCAAACCUUGAAAAAGCUUUAGACACCAUCACUUAUCAGUAGAUAAGAAACCUAAAACAGAGCCAACACCAGCAACACCUUAUCAAGACCAACAGCCUAGAAAAAAUCUCAAUGGAACCGAUAUCAAACGAAACUCAAUGCCAUAUCGGCUCCCAUAAAACUUUCAAACCACCCCACUGUAGCUCUUAAGACUGACGAUAACCAUACUUUAAAAUCACCAAAGCAUCCACUUCGAGAGACACCUUCAACCAUAACACAAUGAAUAGACUCAAAUUCAAUUCUAUAAUCACAACAUACAAAAAAAGACAGAAGCCAUAUUCAAUAAAAUAACAGCCUCAACCAAUCAGUAGGCCCAUAAAAGGCACAAAACACCAUAAUGCAUCAUCCAACCUCAACAACAUAGGGUUUGUUUAUCAUGGUGUUAUAAUCAAUAUUGGGUUCAAACCCACUAUAAGUAUAUUUUUAUUGAUUUUUAUUAUCUAGAAGAGUAGAUAUUAUACACGAACAUUUUAGUUAUUAGAUAUUUGUAAUAUUAAUGGUAAGGAUGUUGACAUGUGUCAACAAUUCAAUGGCCGCUAAACCUUAUAAAUAGGGAUAGUAGUUUUCAUUUCUGGUACCUAUGUGCAACAGAGAAGUGUGUGUCAUAUUGUAAUUGUAUUGUGCAUUAAUAAAGUGUUCUUUCCUCUUAUAAUUGUAAGUCCCGGCUAAGCCUUAGUUUUCUAAGCACUUAGUGCACUUGAGGAGUUAGCUUCUAUAUAUGGUUGGUUCUACAGUUUGAAUGAUAUAUGAUCGGCUCUGCCGCUUGAAUAAUAUAUGAUCAGCCCUGUUGCCUUAGUAUUAUAGUGCAUUAAGAAGUUAGAAAAUAAAAGGUUAACCGGCUCAAAAAAUUCGGUGUAAUAUUUCUUGUAGGUCUUAGGUCUUCUAUAAUGGGUGUGUUGGGCUCAUCGAGUUCCCAACAACAAAUUUUAGGAUGUUUAUUCCUAUGGAUUUAGUUUUCUCCUUAUAUAUGGUUGACAUUAGUUUGCUUUUACAGCAAGUUAUGGAAACGCGUUGAUAUGCUGAAGUCAGAAGAACUUGCAAAAGGAAUUCAAGAUUGUGUGAUGAAAAUUGUUAAGCAAAGAGAAGACAAAUUUGUGAAUGGAGAAGCUGACAGCUUUGGCAAUGAUUUUUUAGGAUUACUUGUAAAUGCAUAUCAUGAUUCGGAUGAAAAUAACAGGCUUUCAAUGGAAGACUUGGUAGAUGAGUGCAAAACAUUCUACUUUGCCGGACAAGAAACUGUUAAUUCCUUACUUGCUUGGAUAGUCUUGCUUUUAGCAACUCACGGAGAUUGGCAGGAUAAAGCUAGAAGAGAGGUGAUUGACAUAUUCGGUAACCGAAAUCCAGAUUCCAAAGGCAUUUCUAAACUCAAAACUGUAAGUAAAUUGUCAAAUAUUCCUAUAUAUUUUUUAUCUCAAUCUCAAAGCUGGUGUUUCAAUCACGUCUUGUUUAUCGCAAUCACAAAUGUAACAAAUAUUAUGUGUUUAGUACAUAUUCUUUAAUUUAAUCUGACCUAUUCUUGUUUUGCAAACAGAUUACUAUGAUUAUUUAUGAAACACUAAGAUUGUAUGGUCCAUCAAAUGGCUUGCAAAGAAGAGUUACAAGAAAAGUUCAGUUGGGAAAGCUAGUCUUGCCUGCUAAUAUAGAUAUUCUGGUUCAAAAUAUUGCACUUCACCAUGAGCCUCACCAGUGGGGAGACGAUGUACAUCUUUUUAAACCAGAGAGAUUUGAAGAAGGGAUUGCCAAAGCUACCAACUACAAUGCAGCUGCAUUUUUUACCUUCGGAUUGGGACCUCGAUCUUGUAUUGGUAUGUCCUUUGCAAUCACGGAAACUAAGGUUGCAAUCUCCAUGAUUCUACAACGCUACACCAUUACCCUCUCCCCUACCUAUGUCCACUCACCAAUGCCUAUUCUCGCCAUUCGACCACAACAUGGAAUUCAAGUAAUACUUGAGUCACUGCAUAACAAUGCUUAAAGUACACAAUAGCUAAGGGACUUGAGGUUUAACUCAAUUUGUUUAUGUAUUCACCUUUAGGUGUUAAAAUUUAAUAUAUGUGGCACUUUUAACAUUAGUAACCCCUUCCUAUUCCUAUGCUAUACCCUACUCAACGCAAAAACAUGGUAAAACAUGCAAUCCAUAAAUAUAUAUAUAUAUGUGUGUGUGUGUGUAUGUGUGUUUCAGUAUUGUUGAUCAAUAUAUAAUUUUUACUAGCUAUGCCUUAUUUCAUUUGAAUUGCAGUAUUACAUCCUAAAGCCUUUCCACCAAGCAAUAGCAGCAAGAAUUAAACUAAGUUGUGAACAUCGAUACAUUGUACGAUAGGCUUGAUCAAGAGCAUUAGCCAAACAACAGCAGCAAACAUAUCCCAUAGAUGCCACUUGAUAUCAAACACCAUAGAUACCACUCGAUAUCAAGCACCACCAUGAAUUAAACAUGGGUCUCCUCUUGAUUCUAGGUUUAACGAACGACUCUGCCAUGCCAUUCCUCUCACAAUUUACAUGAUGAAAAAGCACCGAACCAAUCUCAAUCACAAUUCAAUGAAUGUCAGAAAAAUACCCCGAAGCUUCCUGUUGGGGUUAUCAGGACAUAGAACAAGGAAGCAAGAUGCAUGAAAUAUUUUUACUUGCUCACAAUCUUGCAGCAAGGGAGAUUAUGGCUGAUAGCUCAUUUUGCUCAUUCAUUCAACUAGAAAACAAUACAUUUAUAACCAAAUACAUCACUAAAUACUGCCUACUACCACUAAGUAGCCUAGUAACUUGUUAACAUUGCUUGUGCACAUAAACAAGCCACCUAAACUAGUCAUUCAACUAC